rnacentral:rRNA from 1 species
AUUGAACGCUGGCGGCAGGCCUAACACAUGCAAGUCGAACGAGUGGCGGACGGGUGAAUAAUGACUGGGAAACUGCCUGAUGGAGGGGGAUAACUACUGGAAACGGUAGCUGAUACCGCAUUCCAUCGAAUGUGCCUAGAUGGGAUUAGCUAGUAGGUGGGGUAAAGGUUCACCUAGGCGACGAUCCCUAGCUGGUCUGAGAGUAUGACCAGCCACACUGGAACUGAGAAACGGUCCAGACUCCUACGGGAGGCAGCAGUGGGGAAUAUUGCACAAUGGGCGCAAGCCUGAUGCAGCACUGCCGCGUGUAGGAAGAAGGCCUUCGGGUUGUAAAGUACUUUCAGCGGGGCGGCGUUACCCGCAGAAGAAGCACCGGCUAACUCCGUGCCAGCAGCCGCGGUAAUUC